AGGGAGGGAGGAAUCUCAAACAAAAUUUACUCUUACUCGUUCACUCUCACAAAACUCUCUCAAAACCACAUUUUCUCUUCAAUUUCACGGAACCACAUUUGUAGGUUUUCAAAAUUCAAACCAAUGUUCGUCUCUCUCUCUCCCUCCCUCCACAUAGGCAAUAGAAAUGGGUUGGGUGUGGUCCGACGAAAUAGAAGACGGCCACGACGUCGCUGUAACAUCUGUUCAACUCUUGCAAUUUUUGUAUAUCUAACAACUCCUGCAAUUUUUUCCAAUUCUCAGUCGCUGAACGAGAGGAUUGGUUGGAGCAAUGGAACGAGGCGAUUGUGGCUAAUGUGAUGCCUUUGUUGUGAAAAUUUGAAGGUUUACGUACGUUUUAAUCGGAGUGUUCUUAACAAACCCGCUACAGAUAGAGCGGAAUGUAAACGUCAUCCGUAUUAGCGGCUAGACCUGUGCAACAUAUGUUAAGGGAAGAAGACAGGCAAAACCAUUAGAAGAAGGCGCCUACUAGGUUGAGGAGCAACUGAGCUCAAUCCGGGUAAACUAUAAUUCCGAACUCAAUCCGGGUAGACUAUUAUUUCUCUCUCUCUCUCUCUCUCUCUCUCUCUCUCUUGAUUUAGGUAUUGAUUUUCUUGCCAAUUUGGGGUUGUUCUUGCGAUCUUAAUAACUUUUUGGGAUUGAUGUGGGUUUUUUCGGGAUUGCUGAAUUCUUUGUGGAUUGAUCGUGAAAGGAUCUGAUGUAUUUCGAUGAAUCAGAGGAUAUACAAGUGGGUUUUAUAGUUGCAUGGAUUUCCUGCAAUUUAGUUCAUAGUAAAGGUAUGGAUUGUUGCAGUUUAAUUGGUCAUUUGUUUGUUUGGA